CACGCAGGCGGUCUGUUAAGUUCACGGUGACAGUCAUCAGCUUAACUGGUGAAGUGUCUUGAAACUGACGGACUUGAGGGCCAGAGAGGGACCUGGAAUUCCGGGUGAAGCAGUGAAAUGCGUAGAUAUCCGGAGGAACACCAAAGGCGAAGGCAGGGUCCUGGCUGGUGCCUGACGCUCAGGUGCGAAAGCUAGGGGAGCAAACGGGAUUAGAUACCCCGGUAGUCCUAGCUGUAAACGAUGACCACUAGAUGCGCGGGGUUCGACCCCCUGCGUGCCGUACGUUAACACAAUAAGUGGUCCGCCUGGGAGGUACGUCGCAAGACUAAA
rnacentral:rRNA from 1 species